rnacentral:rRNA from 1 species
AGUGGCGAACGGGUGAGUAACACGUGGGCAACCUGCCCAAAAGAGGGGGAUAACACUUGGAAACAGGUGCGUAAUACCGCAUAACCAUAGGGUUACCGCAUGGUAACUAUGUAAAAGGUGGCUAUACUACCGCUUUUGGAUGGGCCCGCGGCGCAUUAGCUAGUUGGUAGGGUAAAGGCUUACCAAGGCAAUGAUGCGUAGCCGAAUUGAGAGGUUGAUCGGCCACAUUGGGACUGAGACACGGCCCAAACUCCUACGGGAGGCAGCAGUAGGGAAUCUUCCACAAUGGGCGAAAGCCUGAUGGAGCAACGCCGCGUGGGUGAAGAAGGUCUUCGGAUCGUAAAACCCUGUUGUUAGAGAAGAAAGUGCGUGAGAGUAACUGUUCACGUUUCGACGGUAUCUAACCAGAAAGCCACGGCUAACUACGUGCCAGCAGCCGCGGUAAUACGUAGGUGGCAAGCGUUAUCCGGAUUUAUUGGGCGUAAAGGGAACGCAGGCGGUCUUUUAAGUCUGAUGUGAAAGCCUUCGNCUUAACCGGAGUAGUGCAUUGGAAACUGGGAGACUUGAGUGCAGAAAGGAGAGUGAACUCCAUGUGUAGCGGUGAAAUGCGUAGAUAUAUGGAAGACACCAGUGGCGAAGCAGCUCUCUGUCUGUACUGACGCUGAGUUCGAAGCUGGUAGAACAGAUANUCCCUGUA